GCCAGGUGCAGUGGUGUGCCUAUAAUCCCAAGUAUUUGAGAGGCUGGAGCAAGAGUAUUGCUUGAGCCCAGGAGUCCAGGGCUAGCCUGGGCAACAUAGAAAGACUGUGUCUCUC
rnacentral:sRNA from 1 species